GGGCGAUUAGCUCAGCUGGAAGAGCGCUUCCCUUACAAGGAAGAUGUCGGCGGUUCGAGCCCGUCAUCGCCCA
rnacentral:tRNA from 1 species